rnacentral:rRNA from 1 species
GACGAACGCUGGCGGCGUGCUUAACACAUGCAAGUCGAACGGAAAGGCCCUGCUUGCAGGGUGCUCGAGUGGCGAACGGGUGAGUAACACGUGGGUGAUCUGCCCCUUACUUUGGGAUAAGCCUGGGAAACUGGGUCUAAUACUGGAUAGGACCAUGCUGUAGGUGGUGUGGUGGAAAGAUUUUUUCGGUAAGGGAUGAGCUCGCGGCCUAUCAGCUUGUUGGUGGGGUAAUGGCCUACCAAGGCGUCGACGGGUAGCCGGCCUGAGAGGGUGGACGGCCACAUUGGGACUGAGAUACGGCGCAGACUCCUACGGGAGGCAGCAGUGGGGAAUAUUGCACAAUGGUCGCAAGCCUGAGGCAGCGACGCCGCGUGGGGGAUGACGGCCUUCGGGUUGUAAACUCCUUUCAGCAAUGACGAAGCCUCUUUUGGGGUGACGGUAGUGGUAGAAGAAGCACCGGCUAACUACGUG